GGCUCAGAGCGAACGCUGGCGGCAGGCUUAACACAUGCAAGUCGAACGCUCAUCUUCGGAUGGGAGUGGCAGACGGGUGAGUAACACGUGGGAACGUACCCUUCGGUUCGGAACAACUCUGGGAAACUGGAGCUAAUACCGGAUACGCCCUUUUGGGGAAAGGUUUACUGCCGAAGGAUCGGCCCGCGUCUGAUUAGCUAGUUGGUGGGGUAACGGCCUACCAAGGCGACGAUCAGUAGCUGGUCUGAGAGGAUGAUCAGCCACAUUGGGACUGAGACACGGCCCAAACUCCUACGGGAGGCAGCAGUGGGGAAUAUUGGACAAUGGGCGCAAGCCUGAUCCAGCCAUGCCGCGUGAGUGAUGAAGGCCUUAGGGUUGUAAAGCUCUUUU
rnacentral:rRNA from 1 species